rnacentral:rRNA from 1 species
AGCGAACGCUGGCGGCAGGCCUAACACAUGCAAGUCGAACGAACCCUUCGGGGUUAGUGGCGGACGGGUGAGUAACACAUGGGAACGUGCCUUUAGGUUCGGAAUAACUCAGGGAAACUUGUGCUAAUACCGAAUGUGCCCUUCGGGGGAAAGAUUUAUCGCCAUUGGAGCGGCCCGCGUUGGAUUAGCUAGUUGGUGGGGUAAUGGCCCACCAAGGCGACGAUCCAUAGCUGGUCUGAGAGGAUGAUCAGCCACACUGGGACUGAGACACGGCCCAGACUCCUACGGGAGGCAGCAGUAGGGAAUCUUGCGCAAUGGGCGAAAGCCUGACGCAGCCAUGCCGCGUGAAUGAUGGAGGUCUUAGGAUUGUAAAAUUCUUUCACCGGGGACGAUAAUGACGGUACCCGGAGAAGAAGCCCCGGCUAACUUCGUGCCAGCAGCCGCCGUAACAC